rnacentral:misc_RNA from 1 species
AAGACUAUAGACCUGCGGAGUACCUGCGGAAGGAUCAUUAACGUAUCUAUGAUGGGGUGCGGAGCGCCCUGCUCCGGUCGAACGGCCGUGCAGCGGGUGCGCCGCCCCCGUCCCACCUCACAAACCCACUGUGAACAUUCACCGGUGGGGGGGGCUCGGUCUGCGCCGUGUCCCCGAUGCCGAAUACCCAAACUCCAGUUGCAAAGAACGUCGUGCGGACUCGGUGCCGCCUAAAACAUG